rnacentral:rRNA from 1 species
GAUCCUGGUUCAGGAUGAACGCUGGCGGCGUGCUUAACACAUGCAAGUCGAACGAAGCACUUCAUAAAGCUUGCUUUAAGAAGUGACUUAGUGGCGGACGGGUGAGUAACGCGUGGGUAACCUGCCUUACACAGGGGGAUAACAGUUAGAAAUGACUGCUAAUACCGCAUAAAACAGCAGAGUCGCAUGACUCAACUGUCAAAGAUUUAUCGGUGUAAGAUGGACCCGCGUCUGAUUAG